CACACACACCACACACUCACGGCGUGCACACCCCCCCUCACACACGGCGGCCUAGUAAGCAAAAUGCUUUUUCUUGUGAUGUCCUGCAGAAUAGUGCAAUUGUUUGGUAGAAGUCUUACAAAUUGUCUUACAAAAAGCCUGGAAUAUUAUUAUUUGCGAUAAUAAUUAUUUGCGAGAAGUUUAAGAUAAUGCUGUCUCACUUGACGAGAUUUCUAUAUAAUUCGGGAUUCACAAGACUCAGUGCUAUCUUGCGAGCACAGUACCUAAGCGAUAAUUAUGACAGUAUACAAUGGCCAUCCAGAAAUGUUUGUUUUUGUGGAUGAGACUGGUAUAUCUCUAGUGUAAUUGUAUUGGACAAUCUGAUAAUGCAAUUGCAGGGUCAUUUUCUUCCUCCAUGUUGCCAAUCCCAUGCUUUUCAAAAGUGAAGUCACGCAAAUGAAGAAGCAAUACACAGCUGUGAUGGAUAAUACAUGGAUAAUACAUGGAUAAUACAUGCUGGUUACACAUAGUCAUAGAGUGAGAUUUAGAGCUAUGUUCUUCUUGUGACAAUACAUUUGCUUAAGGUCUUCUAAACAGCUGCGUCUUAACUGGGCACGGGAAGAUGUUGGUGCACGUGAAGGAGACUUUAUAGCAGCACUAGCAAAAGCAUCGGACAUACUUUCUUUUUUCCUUUUAGCUGGUGAUGUGGAGGUGUAUCAUGUUUUGAGGUGUAUCAUAGUCCUAGUGGUGGCUUAGUUGUGCCAAGUCAAAGCUUUGGGUAAGGGAUGCUUGGCAGGUAGAGCCGGGGGUCCGUUGCACAUAAUUAUACCUUAUACCUUCACACCCUUCACACCACAAAUUAAUAUUGUCUUCUUGUACAUAUCCAUUAAAUCUCGCCCUCGUCCAUGAUAAUAUCCACAUAAGUCAUGAGAAACGUCGUCAGGAAAUGAUUCAGCUUUGACCCAAGUCACUGUUUUGUCCAUAGGUAUUGGUAUUUGGAGUGGCACUAGCACUACCUAUACUGUACUGUGUGUGCUUGUUCUGAAUAUCACCACGUGUGUACUUGUACAGUAAUCACAAAUACCUGACGUGCUAGAGAUACGGAACGUUCAAUGCUUUUUUGUUGAGUAUUGCAAAGAUUCUGCAAAACCCUGUAGACGGUAGCCGAACUAUGCCCAAUUUGUCUCAACAAGGAAUCUGAUACUGGUACUCCUGUGGGACCAACAGAUUGGGUGAAAGCCACUAUGGUAGUGACAUAAGGUAGCUAUUAAAAAAGGUGAUGGUGAUGAUAUACACUUGUUUAAAUCGGUGGGUGUUAAGUGAUAGUCAAUAAUUGUUGUGUUUAUGAGUUUGUCGACUGUCGACCUAGCCCUCCUGUAGAUUUUUUAUUACCACUAUCCAUACUUCCAGGAAAGUCAGGAAGAAAUGGUGAGGCCACGUUCAACUACUGUAUACACUUGUUUAAAUCGAUGGGUGUUAAGUGAUAGUCAAUAAUUGUUGUAUUUUUAUGUUGUCGACCGUCGACCUAGCCCUCCUGUAGAUUUUUUAUAACCACUAUCCAUACUUCCAGGAAAGUCAGGAAGAAAUGGUGAGGCCACGUUCAACUACUGUGCCGAGUCGGCUAGUCAGCAGUUGACAAGAAAAGAUAAUUGCAUGACAGUGCAAAUCAUCAAUCAUCGGCUAUUGGAUACGUUCACUCCUCUCACCCACGGUGCACUUUCAUCAUUCAACGGAGAGUUGAGAGUGUAAAGUUGGAGUUGGAGAGUAGUCCAUGAACAUUUGGGAUGGAACAACUCUCUGCGUCUGUGAACCAACUCCAAGAGACCUCCACGUAAAUUCCCGAUGAAGCAAACUGACACCCAAUGUGGACUCACAUGGCCGAAGGUCCGUGCCCUGCAAUCGGAAAAACUUGCAACAAACCCAACCAUGUAUGUUUGUCCAAAUCAACAAUGCCACGCAGUAAAAUUAACGUAUACGACAAGUUGGAACUGCACCCAGGUUCUGGUAUCAAGUGUGACCAAGGAAGUUGCACUUUUUACUUACAAAUACCACAAAGUAUGUUUACAGCCAUGCUAGCUAGCUGUUCUAGCUAGCCUAUGUAUUUUAUUUUGCACACUGUGCACAGUAGGUAAAAAGAUUUUCUUGUGCAGGCCAACAUGGAUAUUGAUAGCUGCUCCAUCACCUUGCUGGAAUGGAGGAAUCACAAGCAAGCUUUUUCCUGAAUUUCAGAAAAUCUGUAGUCUAAAUGAGAAAGCAGCUCGUCAAGAAAGGCGGUAGUACACCUCGGGCAGGGACACUGUGAGGCCCUUUGUGUACUGGAGGCAUUCUUUUGCAACCACAAAAGAGAUAAUGAACUGGUAUCUUGUGAUGCAAAUUAGAAGACUCUCUGCUGCACGACAAGACUCGCCACUCGAACUAAUGAUUGAAAAUGUUUCAACAACUGCAGGAAAAAGAUCAAAGACACCUCCAGGGCAUUUACACGGGCAACCCAUAAAGCUUACCAAUUUUUGUGCUCAUCUGUUUUUCUAACUGCAUUUUUUUCAGGCCAUAGUAAUGAUGUUGUCCCUUACAGUGUUGAGAAAACAUGCAAGUGUUGGAUGUGUGGGUGGAAGUAUUUCAAGUUUAUUCAUAACCAGACCCACUUUCAAGAAGCUAACUAUUCUACCACAAUGAGUACUGUGUAUACAGUGGAUUGCAGUGCACUUGCACCCAAAACAGCAAAACCACAAAAUAUGAAUGUUGUUAAUAUGAAAUUGUAUUACAUAAUGGGUAAUGCCACGUGGUUACUAGAUCUGAAUAUUGAUACUUUCUUUCUAGACUCUAUAUAGCUAACUAACAGCUGCCAUGGAUGGAGACUCUGGAAUACCCUCUAAAGUAGUACAGCAGAAUCACUUUGGGCAUGUACAGCUACAGUGGUCAAGGUUUACCUGCCCAUAUCAACUCCUGUCAGUUUCUUCAAUCACACCAAGGAAGUGCCCGAGAGCGAUGCUUUUAGUGUGGGCUACUAUGAAAAACCCAAUAACUCAAAACGCUCUCAAGAUGCAAUGUGAUGGAUGACACCAUUAACCUCUGGCGUGUAGAGGUGGAGCAUUCAAAGAAACGAGAUCACAGUGAUGAUAGCAGCGGAGAACCAAGAAAUAAGCGAUCAAAGAAAGAGAAGGAUAUUGAAGAUGCGUUAAAGAAUCUUCAGGAAAAGCACAGUGAGCAGUAUAGUGACCCUCAACUAAGGCUGUGGGCUCGUAUGUAUGUAAAUGGAAUACACGCCGAUCUUGAGACUCCACCGGAUGUGCCGGCUAUAACUGGCGGCUAUAACUGGUCAUGUUGUCAAGCGCAAAGAAUCAAACCGAUCACUUGCUGAAGCUCUGGCAGGAGCAGCAACAGCUGUUACCAAGAUGUUAGUCCCUCCUAAGAAGAAGUUUACGGAUGGGAUAUCACCGUUCAGUAAAGCCAACUUAAGUGGACAGUAUUUACAGCAAUUACGUACACUGCAACAGCUUAGAGAAGAUGCUACUUUGACAGAGGAAGAAUUUCAGGAACAAAAGAGCAUGCUUUUGAGAAACAUUAAAGGUCUAAAUGCAAAUGCAAAAAAAUAAUUAAUUCAUUUUUGUGUCACAAAUUCAUGUUACAAUUAGAAGCAUGUAGCUAUACAUGUAUAAUUUAUUACUUAACUAUUAUAAUAGAUCAAAAUAAAUAUCCUGAAUGUUUGAUCCACUGACAACAAUCAUGAGGCGUAAUACUCAGAAAAGCAGACAGAAUGAAGUCAUCAUCCGCAACAGCUUGAAUGGCAGCUUCGUUUGCCUUCAAGUGAUACUUAACUUUAGAGAAGGCAAUACGGUGGCAGAAAAUGUAAUAACGCCCCAAUGCUUUGGAGUUGCUUAACAACCCCAUCUGUGUGGUGGAUAGACGCAUUAUCAAGAAUGACAACACUGUGAGGAUUGGAACC